GGAGGAAUGCCCGAGUGGUUAAAGGGGACGGACUGUAAAUCCGUUGGCUCAGCCUACGUUGGUUCAAAUCCAACUUCCUCCACCA
rnacentral:tRNA from 14 species